rnacentral:rRNA from 1 species
ACACCCGAAGUCGGUGGGGUAACCCUUACGGGAGCCAGCCGCCGAAGGUGGGACAGAUGAUUGGGGUGAAGUCGUAACAAGGUAGCCGUAUCGGAAGGUGCGGCUGGAUCACCUCCUUUCUAAGGAA